rnacentral:tRNA from 1 species
AGGAGCUAGAAGGUAUCGACCCUUCAUAAACUAGUUAACAGCCAGCAUACUCCCAUGAGCAUAACUCC